UGAGGAAUAUUGGACAAUGGGCGCAAGCCUGAUCCAGCCAUGCCGCGUGCAGGAUGAAGCAUCUAUGGUGUGUAAACUGCUUUUGUACGGGAAGAAACACCCCUUCGUGAAGGGGCUUGACGGUACCGUAAGAAUAAGGAUCGGCUAACUCCGUGCCAGCAGCCGCGGUAAUACGGAGGAUCCAAGCGUUAUCCGGAAUCAUUGGGUUUAAAGGGUCCGUAGGCGGGCCUGUAAGUCAGUGGUGAAAUCUCCCCGCUCAACGGGGAAACGGCCAUUGAUACUGCAGGUCUUGAAUUAUUAGGAAGUAACUAGAAUAUGUAGUGUAGCGGUGAAAUGCUUAGAGAUUACAUGGAAUACCAAUUGCGAAGGCAGGUUACUACUAAUGGAUUGACGCUGAUGG
rnacentral:rRNA from 1 species